AUUGAACGCUGGCGGCAGGCUUAACACAUGCAAGUCGAACGAGUGGCGGACGGGUGAGUAAUGAUUGGGAAUCCUGCUUAUGGCGGGGGAUAACCACGGGAAACUGUAGCUAAUACCGCGUACCAAAGGAUGAGCCUAAGUGGGAUUAGGUAGUUGGUGAGGUAAAGGCUAACUAAUCCGACGAUCUCUAGCUGGUCUGAGAGGAUUACCAGCCACGCUAGGACUGGGGCACGGCCCAGACUCCUGCGUGAGGCAGCAGUGGGGAAUUGUGCGCAAGGGGGGCAACCUGACGCAGCCAUGCCACGUAAAUGAAGAAGGCCGUCGGGGUGUAAAGUUCUUUCGGUAGGGAGGAGUUAACUACAGAAGAAGCACCGGCUAACUCCGUGCCAGCAGCCGCGGUAAUAC
rnacentral:rRNA from 1 species